rnacentral:piRNA from 1 species
AGCUGUAGGAUUGGGCAGCUCGCCUU